rnacentral:rRNA from 1 species
GAUGAACGCUGGCGGCGUGCCUAAUACAUGCAAGUCGAGCGAACGGACGAGAAGCUUGCUUCUCUGAUGUUAGCGGCGGACGGGUGAGUAACACGUGGAUAACCUACCUAUAAGACUGGGAUACUUCGGGAAACCGGAGCUAAUACCGGAUAAUAUUUUGAACCACAUGGUUCAAAAGUGAAAGACGGUCUUGCUGUCACUUAUAGAUGGAUCCGCGCUGCAUUAGCUAGUUGGUAAGGUAACGGCUUACCAAGGCAACGAUGCAUAGCCGACCUGAGAGGGUGAUCGGCCACACUGGAGCUGAGACACGGUCCAGACUCCUACGGGAGGCAGCAGUAGGGAAUCUUCCGCAAUGGGCGAAAGCCUGACGGAGCAACGCCGCGUGAGUGAUGAAGGUCUUCGGAUCGUAAAACUCUGUUAUUAGGGAAGAACAUAUGUGUAAGUAACUGUGCACAUCUUGACGGUACCUAAUCAGAAAGCCACGGCUAACUACGUG